rnacentral:rRNA from 1 species
GGGGAAUCUUCCGCAAUGGGCGAAAGCCUGACGGAGCAAUACCGCGUGAGGGAGGAAGGCUUUUGGGUUGUAAACCUCUUUUCUCAAAGAAGAAGAAAGUGACGGUACUUGAGGAAUAAGCAUCGGCUAACUCCGUGCCAGCAGCCGCGGUAAUACGGAGGAUGCAAGCGUUAUCCGGAAUCAUUGGGCGUAAAGAGUCCGUAGGUGGCUUCUCAAGUCUGCCGUUAAAGACCAGAGCUUAACUCUGGAGGAGCGGUGGAAACUGAGAAGCUAGAGUUCGGUAGGGGUAGAGGGAAUUCCCAGUGUAGCGGUGAAAUGCGUAGAGAUUGGGAAGAACACCAGUGGCGAAGGCGCUCUACUGGACCGAAACUGACACUGAGGGACGAAAGCUAGGGGAGCGAAAGGGAUUAGAUACCCCUGUAGUC